CCUACGGGUGGCAGCAGUGGGGAAUAUUGGACAAUGGGCGAAAGCCUGAUCCAGCCAUGCCGCGUGUGUGAAGAAGGCCUUCGGGUUGUAAAGCACUUUCAGUGGGGAAGAAAGCCUUGGGGCUAAUACCCUCGAGGAAGGACAUCACCCACAGAAGAAGCACCGGCUAACUCGCGUGCCAGCAGCCGCGGUAAUACGGAGGGUGCGAGCGUUAAUCGGAAUUACUGGGCGUAAAGCGCGCGUAGGCGGUCUGAUAAGCCGGUUGUGAAAGCCCCGGGCUCAACCUGGGAACGGCAUCCGGAACUGUCAGGCUAGAGUGCAGGAGAGGAAGGUAGAAUUCCCGGUGUAGCGGUGAAAUGCGUAGAGAUCGGGAGGAAUACCAGUGGCGAAGGCGGCCUUCUGGACUGACACUGACGCUGAGGUGCGAAAGCGUGGGUAGCAAACAGGAUUAGAUACCCGAGUAGUC
rnacentral:rRNA from 1 species